AACGAACGCUGGCGGCAUGCCUAACACAUGCAAGUCGAACGAGACCUUCGGGUCUAGUGGCGCACGGGUGCGUAACGCGUGGGAACCUGCCCUUAGGUUCGGAAUAACUCCCCGAAAGGGGUGCUAAUACCGGAUAAUGUCUUCGGACCAAAGAUUUAUCGCCUUUGGAUGGGCCCGCGUUGGAUUAGCUAGUUGGUAGGGUAAAAGCCUACCAAGGCGACGAUCCAUAGCUGGUCUGAGAGGAUGAUCAGCCACACUGGGACUGAGACACGGCCCAGACUCCUACGGGAGGCAGCAGUGGGGAAUAUUGGACAAUGGGCGAAAGCCUGAUCAAGCAAUGCCGCGUGAGUGAUGAAGGCCUUAGGGUUGUAAAGCUCUUUUACCCGGGAUGAUAAUGACAGUACCGGGAGAAUAAGCACCGGCUAACUCCGUG
rnacentral:rRNA from 1 species